rnacentral:rRNA from 1 species
CCUACGGGUGGCAGCAGUGGGGAAUAUUGCACAAUGGGGGAAACCCUGAUGCAGCGACGCCGCGUGAGUGAAGAAGUAAUUCGUUAUGUAAAGCUCUAUCAACAGGGAAGAAAAUGACGGUAGCUGAGUAAUGAGCCAUAGCCAACUACGUUCCAGGAGCCGCGGUAAUAAGUAAGGGGCAAGCGUUUAUCGGAUUUAAUGGGUGUAAAGGGAGAGUAGAAGGCAGUGCAAGUAUGGAGUGAAAAGUGGUGGCUCAACCCCCGUAGUGCUAUGGAAACUGUACGGGUGGAGUGCAGGAGAGGUAAGUGGAACUCCAAGUGUAGCGGUGAAAUGCGUAGAUAUAAGGAGGAACACCAGUGGCGAAGGCGGCUUACUGGACUGUAACUGACGUUGAGGCUCGAAAGCGUGGGGAGCAAACAGGAUUAGAUACCCUUGUAGUC